rnacentral:tRNA from 1 species
GGUAGAAUGGCUGAGAUAUUAGGCAAUAGAUUGUAAAUUUAUUUAGGAGGGCAUCCUCUUCUACCA